AGAGUUUGAUCAUGGCUCAGGAAGAACGCUAGCGGCAGGCCUAACACAUGCAAGUCGAACGGUAACAGGGAAAAGCUUGCUUUUCCGCUGACGAGUGGCGCACGGGUGCGCAACGCGUAUAGAACCUACCCUGUACAGGGGGAUAGCCCGGAGAAAUCCGGAUUAAUACCCCGUGGUAAUUAGAAUCGGCAUCGGUUUUAAUUUAAAGUUUCGGCGGUACAGGAUGGCUAUGCGUCCUAUUAGUUAGAUGGUGAGGUAACGGCUCACCAUGGCAUCGAUAGGUAGGGGCCCUGAGAGGGGGAUCCCCCACACUGGUACUGAGACACGGACCAGACUCCUACGGGAGGCAGCAGUGAGGAAUAUUGGACAAUGGGCUCACGCCUGAUCCAGCCAUGCCGCGUGCAGGAAGAAAGCCCUAUGGGUUGUAAACUGCUUUUAUACGGGAAGAAUAAGGGACACGUGUGUCCUGGUGACGGUACCGUAAGAAUAAGGACCGGCUAACUCCGUGCCAGCAGCCGCGGUAAUACGGAGGGUCCGAGCGUUAUCCGGAAUUAUUGGGUUUAAAGGGUCCGCAGGCGGGCAAUUAAGUCAGGGGUGAAAUGGUGCGGCUCA
rnacentral:rRNA from 1 species